rnacentral:rRNA from 1 species
UGGGGAAUAUUGCACAAUGGGCGCAAGCCUGAUGCAGCCAUGCCGCGUGUGUGAAGAAGGCCUUCGGGUUGUAAAGCACUUUCAGCGAGGAGGAAGGUGGUGAGCUUAAUACGCUCAUCAAUUGACGUUACUCGCAGAAGAAGCACCGGCUAACUCCGUGCCAGCAGCCGCGGUAAUACGGAGGGUGCAAGCGUUAAUCGGAAUUACUGGGCGUAAAGCGCACGCAGGCGGUUUGUUAAGUCAGAUGUGAAAAUCCCCGGGCUCAACCUGGGAACUGCAUUUGAAACUGGCAAGCUAGAGUCUCGUAGAGGGGGUAGAAUUCCAGGUGUAGCGGUGAAAUGCGUAGAGAUCUGGAGGAAUACCGGUGGCGAAGGCGGCCCCCUGGACGAAGACUGACGCUCAGGUGCGAAAAGCGUGGGGAGCAAAACAGGAUUAGAUACCCUGGUAGUCCACGCUGUAAAACGAUGUCGAUUUUGGAGGUUGUGCCCUUGAGGCGUGGCUUCCGGAGCUAACGCGUUAAAUCGACCGCCUGGGGAGUACGGCCGCAAGGUUAAAAACUC